CACAUAUUUUACAAAGACAUAAUUUAUGAUAAGCUACAUACAAUGAGAUAUAAGUUUAACAAAAAAUCAUUUUUAUAAUGUUUCAAGGAAGUAUAAUAGGAUUCCAAGUAGGUUUACUCACGAAUUCUUCAUCCCAAGUAUCCAUGACAUCCAUAUCUGAUGGGUCAAGCAUGAAUUGCUCAGCCUUCACGUUCUCAUGGAUAUGAACAAACGACGAAGCUUUGAAUAUUGGUGAAACCCCUUUCUGAAGGCAAUAACGAAGAAGAAUAUUCGCCGGUGUUUUAUUGUACUUUAAGGAUAAAUCUAAGAGUCGAAUAUCACUAAGACGAUAUCCUCUUGUUAGCGGUGAAAAAGCCUGUACUAAAAUACCGUGAUUAAAACAGUAAGAAAGAAAAGUAGGCCUGUUAUUGAAUGCAGAAAAUUCGACCUGAUUAAUAGCUGGAAGGGGCAACCCAAGACUGAUAAUUUCUUCCAAAUGAUGAAUAUUAUAGUUGGAAACUCCAAUUUUGUUUAUCCUUCCUUCUUUUUGAUGCUGCAAUAGUGCUCGCCAAGACUCAAUACGGCGUACGGGCCACUUUGGUGAAUGUAUUAGCACGACGUCUAACUUUGGACGACCUGUUCUGCGAAGAGACUGUUCGACCGCUUUCCAGGUACGUUCAAAUCCUUGUAAGGAGUCAGGAAUCUUAGUUAUUAAGGUGAUAUCUUCACGUUUAAUAUUCACAUUUUGAUGGCAGAAAUCUUGAAUGGCUUGUUCACAUUCUUUUUCAUUUCGAUAUGUAAUUGCUGAAUCAAUUACGCGAAUACCAAGCGAGAGUGCCUCAAUUACUUGCUGGUAGCAAUCCUUAAGUUGAUAUACACCAAAGCAAAGUUGUUCCUUUUCAAAAUUGGUUUGAGAAGGAGAAAAUGGUUUCAUUAACGUAAGUUGAGGUAGAUGAGAGAGCUCAAUGUAUAGACAAAAAUAUUUUCUAAAUCCCUAAACCUUUAAGUAGGAGAUUAAAGGAAAUUUUUUAUAUAUUUAGGAUAAUUGUAAAGAAUUAUUCAAUGGUUAUAUAGCUAGGCCAGACAAGUUCAUCCUCAAUAAUACGUUUAACUUUUUCCGAUACAAAUUUCUCGACUUUAGCAACAUUUUUUAGCAGCUGUUUAUUAGAUUCUCCAAUAAUACUUUCCACUGUUAAAUCUCGAAUAACACUUGAU